rnacentral:rRNA from 1 species
CCUGCCGGCGACCGGCGCACGGGUGAGUAACACGUAUGCAACCUGGCCGUGACAGAUGGAUAACCGGGAGAAAUCCCGCCUAAUACAACAUAAUGCCGGGAGGGGACAUCCCCUGCCGGCCAAAGGGGGCGACCCCGGUCACGGAUGGGCAUGCGGCGCAUUAGGUAGUUGGUGGGGCAACGGCCCACCAAGCCGACGAUGCGUAGGGGUUCUGAGAGGAAGGUCCCCCACAUUGGAACUGAGACACGGUCCAAACUCCUACGGGAGGCAGCAG